rnacentral:rRNA from 1 species
CAAUCACUUGUCUUUUAAAUGGAGACCUGUAUGAAUGGCAUAACGAGGGCUUGACUGUCUCCUCUCCCCAGUCAAUGAAAUUGAUCCUCCCGUGCAGAAGCGGGAAUACCUACAUAAGACGAGAAGACCCUAUGGAGCUUUAGACACCAAGGCAGACCACGUCAAAACCCCCUAAACAAGGAAUAAAACUAAAUGAACCCUGCCCUAAUGUCUUCGGUUGGGGCGACCGCGAGGCAACAAAAAACCCCCGCGUGGAACAAGGACACCCCCUCCCACCUCCUCACAACCCAGAGCCUCCGCUCUCAUGAACAGAAUUUCUGACCUAUAAGAUCCGGCAAUGCCGAUUAACGGACCAAGUUACCCUAGGGAUAACAGCGCAAUCCCCUUUUAGAGCCCA